rnacentral:rRNA from 1 species
GACGAACACUGGCGGCGUGCCUAAUACAUGCAAGUCGAACGCAUUUUCUUUCACCGUAGCUUGCUACACCGAAAGAAAAUGAGUGGCGAACGGGUGAGUGACACGUGGGUAACCUGCCCAUCAGCGGGGGAUAACACUUGGAAACAGGUGCUAAUACCGCAUAAUUCCAUUUACCGCAUGGUAGAUGGAUGAAAGGCGCUUUUGCGUCACUGAUGGAUGGACCCGCGGUGCAUUAGCUAGUUGGUGGGGUAACGGCCUACCAAGGCUGCGAUGCAUAGCCGACCUGAGAGGGUGAUCGGCCACACUGGGACUGAGACACGGCCCAGACUCCUACGGGAGGCAGCAGUAGGGAAUCUUCGGCAAUGGACACAAGUCUGACCGAGCAACGCCGCGUGAGUGAAGAAGGUUUUCGGAUCGUAAAACUCUGUUGUUAGAGAAGAACAAGGAUGAGAGUGGAAAGUUCAUCCCUUGACGGUAUCUAACCAGAAAGCCACGGCUAACUACGUG